rnacentral:rRNA from 1 species
UACGUAGGGGGCAAGCGUUGUCCGGAUUUAUUGGGCGUAAAGAGCGUGUAGGCGGCCCGACAGGUCCGUUGUGAAAACUCGAGGCUCAACCUCGAGACGUCGAUGGAAACCGUCGGGCUAGAGUCCGGAAGAGGAGAGUGGAAUUCCUGGUGUAGCGGUGAAAUGCGCAGAUAUCAGGAGGAACACCAAUGGCGAAGGCAGCUCGCUGGGACGGUACUGACGCUGAGACGCGAAAGCGUGGGGAGCAAACAGG